ACAAAAUGUUCCAGAAAUUCUUCUUGUUUGCCUGCCUUUUGGCCGUGAUGGCCGUCGUUUACACGAACUCUGCACCCACUGAAAACGAACCCACUGCCGACGAAGAGGAAAAAUUCUUGUUUUUCUGCAGAUGGUUUACUUCUUGCACCGACAGCACUCAGUGUGCCGGUAAUCUGAUCUACAGGACCUGCAACGGUGGACGAUGCUGCAAAGGCUAAAUUAAGCAAAUGAAUCGUUUUCACGACAUAAACCUGACACGACAAUCCCUUCCUAUUGAUUUGGAUGCCUUCAAUUUUAAAAUGCACGUUAUAUUUGAUAAAUUGGUUUGAGGUUAAAGCGCACUUAUUGAAAGCAUAAAGAAUAAAUACAUUUUACUUGGAAGCAGA